rnacentral:rRNA from 1 species
UAGAGUUUGAUCCUGGCUCAGAUUGAACGCUGGCGGCAUGCCUUACACAUGCAAGUCGAACGGUAACAGGUCUUCGGAUGCUGACGAGUGGCGAACGGGUGAGUAAUACAUCGGAACGUGCCCGAUCGUGGGGGAUAACGGAGCGAAAGCUUUGCUAAUACCGCAUACGAUCUACGGAUGAAAGCAGGGGACCGCAAGGCCUUGCGCGGACGGAGCGGCCGAUGGCAGAUUAGGUAGUUGGUGGGAUAAAAGCUUACCAAGCCGACGAUCUGUAGCUGGUCUGAGAGGACGACCAGCCACACUGGGACUGAGACACGGCCCAGACUCCUACGGGAGGCAGCAGUGGGGAAUUUUGGACAAUGGGCGAAAGCCUGAUCCAGCCAUGCCGCGUGCAGGAUGAAGGCCUUCGGGUUGUAAACUGCUUUUGUACGGAACGAAAAGACUUCUUCUAAUACAGGAGGUCCAUGACGGUACCGUAAGAAUAAGCACCGGCUAACUACGUGCCAGCCGCCGCGGUAAUUCA